AUUUCAUUCCCACAUGUAGAAUCUGAUUCUAACUAAGUGAGAAUCACAAAGUCUGGAACAUAAUGUGAGCACUGUUUGUCUGAACAGAUAGGGGCUACAAGGUCACCCUAAAACUAUCUCUCCUGAUACAUUUAGUUUUCCCAUGCCAGUUGAGAUGCAACUGGGGGGGGGGUGAAAAAGAUG